GAAUAGCUCAAUCAGUAAAGCAUGAGACUCUUAAUCUCAGGGUUGCGGGUUUGGGCCCCAUGUUGGGCA